AACGAACGCUGGCGGCAUGCCUAACACAUGCAAGUCGAACGAGACCUUCGGGUCUAGUGGCGCACGGGUGCGUAACGCGUGGGAACCUGCCCUUAGGUUCGGAAUAACUCCCCGAAAGGGGUGCUAAUACCGGAUAAUGUCUUCGGACCAAAGAUUUAUCGCCUUUGGAUGGGCCCGCGUUGAAUUAGCUAGUUGGUAGGGUAAAAGCCUACCAAGGCGACGUUCCAGAGCUGGUCUGAGAGGAUGAUCAGCCACACUGGGACUGAGACACGGCCCAGACUCCGACGGGAGGCAGCAGUGGGGAAUAUUGGACAAUGGGCGAAAGCCUGAUCCAGCAAUGCCGCGUGAGUGAUGAAGGCCUUAGGGUUGUAAAGCUCUUUUACCCGGGAUGAUAAUGACAGUACCGGGAGAAUAAGCUCCGGCUAACUCCGUG
rnacentral:rRNA from 1 species